UCCAGAUGGCUUGAGUAAAAAAUUCCAACCAGUCUUUAUAUUUGGGAUUUGUGAGCCAGUCCUCAGAGAAUUUACAUCUACCUAUUAUGAGUUCUGUCAAAGAUCAUACCAGGCAUGUUAAAUAUAUCGUUCACAAACAGCGCGUGGACAUCACCUGUCCAUCGAAGCAGCAGUGAAACUUAACGACACCUGGGCGGGCCUUAAAAUGGGUUGGAGGAGGAU